GAUGCCGCCUCCGGCGGGGCCUGGCGUCGGCGCGAUCUCGCCGGGGCAGAGCCCCAGCGAGCCGCCGCAGAGCUGCAUGCCGAGAAACGAGUUAGGAAUAAAGCGACGGAGAUGGUUCGGGACCGAUCCAUUCAGUUGGUUAUUUGACACGUUGAACUGCUCGAGCUUCGGAGGGUUAAUAUCUGGGAUCUGGCCGGUGAAGGCAUUGUUCUCGAGUGAGAGAGUGGCGAUACGGGUGAGGUUGUUAAACGCCGGCGAGAUCUCGCCGGAAAAGGAGUUGGAAGCGAGGCUGACGCGAACGAGGCGCUCGAGUUUGAAGAACGUCGGCGGGAUCGGUCCGGAGAAGCGGUUGCCCUGGAGGUAGAGGUUACGGAGUUCGGUGGCGCCGUCGAGGUCCUGGGGGAGGGGGCCGGAGAGGGCGUUGAGGCGGAGGCUGAGCGUGCGGAGAGCGGUGAGGUUACCGAUGGUGCCGGUGGGGAUCCGGCCGCUGAGACCGGAGCCGGGGAGGCGGAGGACGGUGACGCGAUUGGACUCGCAGCGGACGCCAGGCCAGGAGCAGGCGGACUGGGAGGCGUUCCAUUGGAGGCGGUAGCCGGAGACGGCAGAGCGGAGAGCGAGGAGGGCGGCGCGGUCGGAGGCGAGAUCCGGUGCUCCGCCGGCGAGGAGGGAGAGGGAGAGGAGCGCUAGGAGGAGGAGCCGCGGUGGCGGCGGUGAGGCCAUGGGGCGGUGACCGGACUCCGUCAAGGCAUUGGGGAAAUGGGACAGCUAGGGGGGCA
rnacentral:misc_RNA from 1 species